rnacentral:rRNA from 1 species
CCUACGGGUGGCAGCAGUCGAGAAUCAUUCACAAUGGGGGAAACCCUGAUGGUGCGACGCCGCGUGGGGGAAUGAAGGUCUUCGGAUUGUAAACCCCUGUCAUGUGGGAGCAAAUUAAAAAGAUAGUACCACAAGAGGAAGAGACGGCUAACUCUGUGCCAGCAGCCGCGGUAAUACAGAGGUCUCAAGCGUUGUGCGGAAUCACUGGGUGGAAAGCGUGCGGAGGCUGUUUCGUAAGUCGUGUUUGAGAGGCGCGCGCUCAACCCGCGGACGGCACAUGAUUAUGCGAGACUAGAGUAAUGGAGGGGGAACCGGAAUUCUCGGUGUAGCAGUGCAAUGCGUAGAUAUCGAGAGGAUCACUCGUGGCGAUGGCGGGUUCCUGGACAUUACCUGACGCUGAGGCACGAAGGCCAGGGGAGCGAAAGGGAUUAGAUACCCCUGUAGUC